AACCGCAAAGGGCUCAGUAAACCAGUUUUAAUUUACUAGAGUUUUUACGUUACGUACGUGGAUACCUGUGGUAAUUCUAGAGCUAAUACAUGCAAUUAAGUCCGGACCAGAAAUGGAAAGGACGCUUUUAUUAGAUCAAAACCAUUCGCCCGACUUGUUUGGGCGUUGUUUUGGUGAAUCUAGAUAACACUUGAGAUCGUACAGUCAUUGUACUGACGACAUCUCUUUCAAACGCCUGACUUAUCAGCUGUCGAUGGUAGACUCUGUGUCUACCAUGGCCCUCACGGGUAACGGGGAAUCAGGGUUCGAUUCCGGAGAGGGAGCCUGAGAAACGGCUACCACAUCCAAGGAAGGCAGCAGGCACGCAAAUUACCCACUCCCGGCACGGGGAGGUAGUGACAAAAAAUAACGAUACGGGACUCUAUUGAGGCCCCGUAAUCGGAAUGAGUACACUUUAAAUCCUUUAACAAGGAUCCAUUGGAGGGCAAGUCUGGUGCCAGCAGCCGCGGUAAUUCCAGCUCCAAUAGCGUAUAUUAAAGUUGUUGCGGUUAAAAAGCUCGUAGUUGGUUCUGCGUGCCGCGCUGUCGGUUCGCCGCCUGUCGGUGUAACUGGCAUGUCGCGGCAUGUCCUGUCGGUGGUGAACGAUAUUCUGCGAGUGCAUCUGAGGCUUAAUUGUCAAAGAUUGUGCCGUGUGUAAUGUCGUUUGCCGAUUUCUCCUACUCCGGUGCUCUUAAACGAGUGUCGAAGUAGGCCGACACGUUUACUUUGAACAAAUUAGAGUGCUUAAAGCAGGCUAAAAUAUCUGCCUGAAUAGUGGUGCAUGGAAUGAUAAAAUAGGACCUCGGUUCUAUUUUGUUGGUUUUAGGAAUAUGAGGUAAUGAUCAAUGUGGACUGGCGGGGGCAUUCGUAU
rnacentral:rRNA from 1 species